AUGGAAGAGGAUUGUUCCAGUCACAUGGAUCAGUGGUACAGGGUCAGGUCAAGGGUCUGUCCCUGUCUACGUUUUUGUCAAGUUGUCAGCUGGGAAAGCUUUCACCACCACUUCAGCAUCUCUCAAGCACACACCAAAUGUGAGUUAUACAGCAACACUGUGAGAAACACCGCCAUGAUGCACAGGCUGCAGGUAUUCAGACAUACUGUCAUGGUCGUGACCCACUGUUUAUGUUUUCAUAUCUUUUGUAUUUUCUGGCUCUCUAAUUGACAUUAGGCAUCUUUGGGUUCCAGAUCCUGAAAAGUUGGGAUAAAACCUGCAGUAGCAGUGGGCUACCGGUGCACAAAGGUGUUACUUGAUGAGAACUGUGUGUACCAAUUUUAUUUACUUAUUUUGUAUUCUGUUUCCCUUCCUCCCCGUCUCGUUAUGUCAGAUUAGUCCCAGCUGUGUUUCCCUCCUGUUUCCCAUUCCCUCAUUACCCCCUUGUGUAUUUAAGCCUUGUUUUCCUCUGUCCCUUGUCGCAUUGUACAUUCUCUGUGCUGUGUGUCCUUUGUGCUCCUGAUAAUGUCAGAGUUCUCCGUGUCCCAUUUUACUUUUUUCUACUUUCCUAAGUUUCCUAUUUAGAGGUUCCUAGUUUCUAGGUUAUGAGGUUUUUGUGUGGAUACAUUGAUACAGCAAUUAAGCUGCGUCCCUUGGCUCAUUCCUUUGUUUUUGAGUCCUGCAUUUGGGUCCUACUUCCUGCCUACCACACAGCACCAAACCAUGACACAUACACAAGGCAGUAGCAAAAGUCUUCUGCUUGAUAUUCAUAUCAGGCUGGAAAAGUUACAGCCCAAAAUAUCCAAUUGUCACCAGUUUGAGAUGGAAGCUUGAAAAGCCACCCUUUGUAGCACAGCCCGCAUCACAGAAAUCUUAAGGUUGAACAGUGUGGACUACCAUCAGCUCAGCUGAGCCUCUCCUAAUAAAGUAAGAUGUGAUUUCUUUCCUUUUAAAUACAGAACAUGCGGCUUCCAGAUGUCUGUGGAAACAAAGAAGUGCUUCUGCUUUCAGUUCUGCAAUGAUGCUCUUGAAGUUAAGAAAAUGCAUUGAAGACAAAUUAUAUAUAACCUGCUAUGCAGAGAUGUGGAAAAAAACCAAAAAGUACACUCAUGCAGGCAACUCCCAGAGAUCUGCAUCAUCAUGAUUUUGAUUUGAUUCAAGUGGAACAACAUGACAAUAUGACCAAAUUAUUCAGCUAAGUUAAUCACCCUUGUUUUAGUGAAGUGUUUCCUAAAUGGGUUAAUGGCCAUUAAAGAGCAAACCAAGGCUAAAACUUCAUGCCAUGUCCCAACAACAACACUUAUUCUCUGUGAGAGGUUUCAUGUAACACUGCUGAUGAAAUGUUGUACCAACAUGCCUCUGUUAACCUAAUUGUGGUUUGAUCGAACUCUUUCGACAUAUUUUUCAUUUCCUGGUGUUCAGUGCAGAAAAGCUCACAUGCACACAGAAUGAGAGUCAUUUCAAACUGCUGACACAAGCGCCUCAGCAGCGAGGCAGUCAUUAUGGACCCGGCAAGUCUGAGCAACAGAGCAGUGAAAGAGCAGGUAGAUAAUACUCAGUCUUGCAACCAUACUGGGCAGCACUGCUCCCUGUCUCCUUCCAUUUAAGCACCUUCCAUCUUUGUCACAGCUGGAAUGGGAAUUCCAUCUCUCCUCCAACAUAAGGCCUUUUCUACAGAGACUGCAUUAUGCUGCAGACUUCUCUGCACUUAAGGCAUCUGUUUGGACAACGCCUGCAUUUGGAGUGAGACAGGGUGAUUUGUUAGAUGAGAUGUUACGCUUUAGAAUUGAGACAGAUCCAGCUAAUGAGAUUAUUCUCAUGAAAGGAGCUUUGGGAAUAGAAAGGAAAACUAAGAGGGACAGUGAAGGUGAAAGAGUAGGGGUCCAGAUGAAUAAACAAAACCAAGCAGAAUACAAUAAAAGGAAAAGGUUGGGAUUGUCUGAAGAAGGAGUGCAAACACAUCUGAGAUGAAUAUUUUACAUACCCCUGAACAGGUCAGCUGUCCUGAACUUGCUGUCGCUCGGUGAAACUGACUGCAAAGAGUGUGCUGCACCAUAAACCUACUCCUGAUUGCUUUGAACGCCUGCAGAUUGAAACGGUCGUAAGACGCCGACUUGUCUGCAAACACUUGGCAUUCACUCUCUGAGAUGUAGUAAACCUUGAAAGAAUGUGACACAAAGCAGAAAUGGUUUGAAAUGGAUAACACAGGCUUAAAAAGCCUUCCCCAAGCCCUGACCUUAACUCUAACAUCAAGCUCCAUUCCAGGAAACCAACCUAGAGUUAUGCCAGAAGCUUGUUAAUGGUUACAACAAACACGUGGUCGUUCAACAUGCUAAUGGACCAAACCAAAUAUUACUGGAAAGAACCACUUUGACAGAUAUGUGAUAAUCUCUUGCACACUUUUAUGAUACUAUGCUCACACUAAUGUGCAUGCUCACAUUUUCUAUCUGCACUUCUAUGUGAGACGUUCGGAUUUCAUUUACUCCACUGUGAUGCGUUUUUUAUAAAGAUAACAAAACAGAGCAGAGGGUUAACACUGAGACAGUCGCCUUUCUCGUGAGGAUUCACUUUACUUUGAAAGUGAAUGAGUUAUUUUGGGACAGGUAACACUGGAGAUCAUAAAUGUAUUAUGUGAAUGCAAAGAUGGUAAAUGUUUAUGAGGUGCCGUAAGGGACAUUAUUACUGAAACGCUCUCACGCACUCCACUGAAAAACCAAGGCAUUUCAGUUGAACAGGAAGUCCUGACAAGGAAACUGAAGGAAAAAGUGGUAGAUUUCAAACAAGCCACUACACAGAUGUCUACUCAGCAACCUGCUAGUAGCCUAAGUGAAGCAGCUGCAUUACUUAACAAUAUAUUAGCCUCAGCAUAAGUCAAAAUUUAGAAUAGCAGGAGACGGGCAUUAUCCUGGUUAAUUUUUUUGGCAUAUUUGCUUUUUGUCUUUUUUAGCAAAGAAAACAAUAUCUUAAAAUCAUUAAUAAAACCAGGGAGAGAAGGCUUAGCGUUCCUCCAUUUAGUAAAAGUAAGUAAGUAAAAUUUAUUUAUAUAGCACAUUUCACAGAUAAAAAUCACAAAGUGCUUCACAAUAAG
ensembl:lncRNA